rnacentral:piRNA from 1 species
UAUUUAAAAAAAAUGUGGAGAUUCCCCUA